rnacentral:tRNA from 1 species
GGGGCUGUAGCUCCACGGCAGAGCACUUGCCUAGCAUGCAUGAGGUGCUGGGUUCCAUCCUCAGCACCACA